rnacentral:misc_RNA from 1 species
GUGUAAACUAUAAAUUUGUGUUACUAUGAAACAAUGUCAUCGCAACAGCGCAAAUUCAUAGGGAAACAAAACGUUUCAAACAACACUGCAAGAACCGUAAAUACAAACACGCAUCUAUUUUUGUAAUGCCCACAACAGUCGUAACAAUUGCAUUAAGUGUUGGCUAAAACUACCGUAACAUCCAACAGACAACAGACAGGUGGAGGUGGAGAUGGCUGCAAUAAAGAACAUCGCGCUGGGCAUUUUGUAUGGACUAUGGGACAGCAUACGCGGCAUGACCCUGGUGCUUCACAUUGACAACGAGGUGGCCAGACAGAAUGCAGAAUUGGAGACAAUGCGCCAGCUGCGCAGAAUGGACAGGGAGCAAUAUAGGCAGGCGCAACGUUCGCCCUCGCCAGUGCCCAGCUCGGCGGCGGCAAUGAUACGCGAGGAGUAUGCCAAGCGUGCGGAGGCCAAUACCGAUGAGCGUACGCUGGAGAAGAUAUUCAAAAAGAAGCCCGUGGAGGAGCCACAGCCACAGGCCGAGAAGAAAAUCGCCAAGAAAUUAUUUAAAUGCUGUCUGCUAAAUGGCGGCUUCACCUGGCUCAGCAUCGUGCUGUUCGAGAACGUGCUGCUGCCCACACUGAAAUUCUGUUUGACCAUCUUCUAUGGCGCGCAGUCCGAUACGUUGCCCUUUGUCUGGAGCUGGCUGCAUCCCAUUUUGUCGCUGAUCUUUGGCAUGAUGUGGGUGCUGCCCAUAUUCAUGCUCUCCAAGAUUGUCAGCUCGCUGUGGUUCGCGGACAUCGCGAAUGCGGCGUAUCGUGUGCGCAAGGGUCGGCCCCAGUUGAUACCCGGUAUCAGUAAACUGGUUGCCGACUUCCUCUUCAGCAUGGUCGUGCAAAUACUGUUUCUGGUGCAGAGCAUGUUGGUCAAUCUGGUGCCAGUCAAAUAUGUUGGCUCCUCGCUGUGCUUUCUUCAUUUGUGCCUGCUCUAUUCGCUGUAUUCCUUCGAGUACAAAUGGUUCAACAUGGGCUGGGAGCUGCAUCGACGUCUGACCUACAUUGAAAAGAAUUGGCCAUAUUUCCUUGGCUUUGGCAUACCGCUGACGGUGCUCACGAAUAUGUCCAGCUCUGUGAUUGUCAGCAGCUGCAUCUUCUCCAUAUUCUUUCCGCUCUUCAUACUCAGCGGCAACGAGGCGAAGCCCAUUGUGGACACCACUAACUUUUCGCUGCGUCUUUUCUCGCCGGUGGUAUUCAUAUCUAAUUUAUGCUUUGGCGGCAAUCCGUGGAGCAAAACGAAUCGCCUUUUGGCCCAGCAGCGCAAGCUGGCCGAGAAACAGCGUCAGCUGCAGCGCGAGGAGCUGCUGCUCAAGCAGAAGAAACAGCAAUAUAUGCUGCAGCAGCAGCGACAGCACGAGGCGAUGCGCGAACACUCGCGUUCCCGGACACCGCAGUCGGGUCAGCCGCAUCAUCGCUACGCCCAGCCGCCGGCGUUUGAUGCGACGCGUGUGCGCGACUCCUCGGCCUCGUCCACGCACAGCUCCAAUGCGGCAACACCGAGCAGCUUUAGGCCGCCGCCGUUCUUUGGAGGCGGCGCUGGUGGCCUGCACAGCAAUGUGCCCCUGGUGCCCACACCUGUGCCUGGUGCGCCGCGCACGCCCGUCGUGGUGCACGAGGAGUCGGGCCCAGAUGACUGGAACUUGUGAGAUUUUUGUGCACACGCACACACACACAUAUACUUGACUACUAUCAUAAGGCAUAGGCAUUAGUAUGUCUACGCAUAAUGACAAUGCACGCUAGUCGGUAGUCGACAGCGCAGUGCACAACUGGUAGCUAACUUUAUCUAUUGUUUGUAUCUAAGAUAAACACACGCCCAAUCUGCUGCCCAAGAUUUUAUUUGGUUACCAUAUUCUCUCUCUGAUUGGGUAUUCAAAAGUUUCAUAAAUAUGUAAUAAAAAUUUUUUGUAAUUUC